CCGCUGUUGUUUUGCCGGCAAAGGAAGCCGGCUGGCAUGUGAGCUGCUGCUAGCCGUGAUCAUUAUCCGGUAGAUUUGGUACCUUCAGCCAUUCUUGUGUGGAACUGCACUCUGCUGUGAACUGGCGUUCACUUCGCGCUGCCUAUACUGCACCAGUGUGUUGCCCCAUCAUCUGUGCCCUGUGGCAGGCCUGAUUCGUGGUGCUUACGCCGGCUUGGAGUGGCCACAGUGGUUGGCCCCUGGGUACCUGACUGCAGUCAGUGGAUGGUAAGCUGGCCUAUGCUACGUUGAUGUUGUUCCUCCGAUGGUAACGAUGACCUUAGUCACUAAAUCUACCCUCACUUUCCUCAGUGUGUGGUCCAAAUUGCGAUUGUUCCGAACCACGGAUUUAUGAUCGGGUUAGCGGUGCCUCUCUGACGCUGGGGAUUGCUAGCUACACUCCUCGGAGGUUGCUGUUUUGUUGCCGUCACACUCUGCACCGGUUCCGACUGGCUCCACCUGCUCGUCCUGCUUUUGUUUGGUUUAAUUGUUUUUAAUUUUCUGGCCCGUUUCUUGGGACGCCAGCCUCCUCGCUGCGCACUGCGCAGGUCUAGUUACCUGUGUGUGUUGUGAGUGCGUGUGUGUCUGUGCGUCUGUAUGCGUGUGUGAUUGUCAUCUAGGCACGGCACCGGAGGCAAGUGUACACCCCCUUCAGCCAACUUACGGCGGUGUAGUUCUCCCUUCUCUCUUGCUAUACAAAAGUUAAGUUGCAUCUAGUCAUCACUGUGUAUGCAAAUUGUGUAAUACAUUAGUAUGUGUCAUUCUCGCUAUUGAGUGUCUCUCUCUUCUCUCCUCCCUGGAUAGGUAUGGAGUUGCCAUAGCGCGCCGGUCUUCGGGUGGUGGAUUCCCUCACUUUUCCAUUGCUGUGUGCACUUGGGUGACUAUUACUAUUUUGCUGCGUGUAGUAGUAGUAGAUGUGUGUGUUUUCUUUUUAUUUUUGUGUGAGUACUUUAUUGUGUGUGGCCUUUUCCCUAGUCUUUAUCUAUCCCUUUUCAACCGUGCUGCUAUUGGUUAGCCUAAGCCUAGCUCCCCCCCCCCUUUAAGAGUGACACCAUUGCCCUGUCUCCCCCGUAUUGGGGCGGUUCGUACGAUUGAGUGUAGCCUCCCUUCCUCUCUCGCACAGGUGCCGUGCGUGGUGUGUGUGUGUGGCCUGUGGCCAUAUUGCUCCACAUAACGACCCGCCUGUGGGCGUCUAAUAGGGAUCAGUGCAAUAUUGUCUGUAAUACAAUUCAUCCAUAUUGUAUUUUGUAAUGUAUGAGUAUUUGUCCCUUGCAUCACCACUGCAUAUUUGCACACCUGACCUCAAUGACCUGGAUGUCUAUUUUAUUGAUCUGUAUUACUAUUGUAUUUGUGAAAAGAGAAUAAACACGAACUUGACUCCUGCCUAAGAGUGCUCCGAACCUGUGUCCUGGUUUACUAAUUUGGGGGGUAAUUUCACUCCUAGGUUGUCUUCCCCCACCCUAGGUGGCGUAGUCGUGCAAGAGCUG